GUUAGUCUCCACAGUGGCGAUAAGUUGUGAACUCGGUCAGGCCUGGAAGGGAGCAGCCGUAACGACUGAUUCGGGUGCUGUGAUCAGGUUAGCCAC
rnacentral:SRP_RNA from 1 species